UACGAAGGGGGCGAGCGUUGUUCGGAAUUACUGGGCGUAAAGGGCGCGCAGGCGGCUCUGAAAGUCAGAUGUGAAAGCCCCGGGCUUAACCUGGGAAUUGCAUUUGAUACUCUGGAGCUUGAGUACGGGAGAGGAGAGUGGAAUUCCCAGUGUAGAGGUGAAAAUUCGUAGAUAUUGGGAAGAACACCGGUGGCGAAGGCGGCUCUCUGGACCGUAACUGACGCUGAGGCGCGAA
rnacentral:rRNA from 1 species